rnacentral:rRNA from 1 species
CGUCUCGAAAGGGACGCUAAUACCGCAUACGUCCUACGGGAGAAAGCAGGGGACCUUCGGGCCUUGCGCUAUCAGAUGAGCCUAGGUCGGAUUAGCUAGUUGGUGAGGUAAUGGCUCACCAAGGCGACGAUCCGUAACUGGUCUGAGAGGAUGAUCAGUCACACUGGAACUGAGACACGGUCCAGACUCCUACGGGAGGCAGCAGUGGGGAAUAUUGGACAAUGGGCGCAAGCCUGAUCCAGCCAUGCCGCGUGUGUGAAGAAGGCCUUUUGGUUGUAAAGCACUUUAAGCGAGGAGGAGGCUACUUGGAUUAAUACUCUAGGAUAGUGGACGUUACUCGCAGAAUAAGCACCGGCUAACUCUGUGCCAGCAGCCGCGGUAAUACAGAGGGGGCAAGUGUUAUUCGGAAUAAUUGGGCGUAAAUGGCGUGUAGGUUGUACUUCGCUGUUAUCGGUUAAAUCCCCAUCGAUAUGGUGGGUAAGGCUGAUAGAACGGUUGUACUAGAGAGUGAGAGAGGAUACGGGAAUUUCGAGUGGAGAAGUUAAAUUCUUAGAUAUUCGAAGGAAGGCCAACUGCGAAGGCACAUAUCUGGCUCAUUUCUGACACUGAGGCGCGAAGGCGUGGGGAGCGAAGCCGAUUAGAUACCGGCGUAGUCCACGCAGUCAACGAUGCUG